rnacentral:rRNA from 1 species
GAUGAACGCUGGCGGCGUGCCUAAUACAUGCAAGUCGAGCGAACAGACGAGGAGCUUGCUCCUCUAACGUUAGCGGCGGACGGGUGAGUAACACGUGGAUAACCUACCUAUAAGACUGGGAUAACUUCGGGAAACCGGAGCUAGUACCGGAUAUUAUAUUGAACAGCAUGGUUCAAUAGUGAAAGACGGUUUUGCUGUCACUUAUAGAUGGAUCCGCGCCGCAUUAGCUAGUUGGUAAGGUAACAGCUUACCAAGGCAACGAUGCGUAGCCGACCUGAGAGGGUGAUCGGCCACACUGGAACUGAGACACGGUCCAGACUCCUACGGGAGGCAGCAGUAGGGAAUCUUCCGCAAUGGGCGAAAGCCUGACGGAGCAACGCCGCGUGAGUGAUGAAGGUCUUCGGAUCGUAAAACUCUGUUAUUAGGGAAGAACAAAUGUGUAAGUAACUAUGCACGUCUUGACGGUACCUAAUCAGAAAGCCACGGCUAACUACGUGCCAGCCGCCGCCGUAA